rnacentral:rRNA from 1 species
GACGAACGCUGGCGGCGUGCUUAACACAUGCAAGUCGAACGGAAAGGCCCUGCUUUUGUGGGGUGCUCGAGUGGCGAACGGGUGAGUAACACGUGAGUAACCUGCCCUUGACUUUGGGAUAACUUCAGGAAACUGGGGCUAAUACCGGAUAGGAGCUCCUGCUGCAUGGUGGGGGUUGGAAAGUUUCGGCGGUUGGGGAUGGACUCGCGGCUUAUCAGCUUGUUGGUGGGGUAGUGGCUUACCAAGGCUUUGACGGGUAGCCGGCCUGAGAGGGUGACCGGCCACAUUGGGACUGAGAUACGGCCCAGACUCCUACGGGAGGCAGCAGUGGAGAAUAUUGCACAAUGGGCGGAAGCCUGAUGCAGCAACGCCGCGUGCGGGAUGACGGCCUUCGGGUUGUAAACCGCUUUCGCCGGUGACGAAGCGUGAGUGACGGUAAUGGGUAAAGAAGCACCGGCUAACUACGUG